rnacentral:rRNA from 1 species
AGCGAACGCUGGCGGCAGGCUUGACACAUGCAAGUCGAGCGGGCAUCCUUGUGGUGUCAGCGGCAGACGGGUGAGUAACGCGUGGGAACGUGCCCUUCGGUUCGGAAUAACUCAGGGAAACUUGAGCUAAUACCGGAUACGUGCGAGAGCAGAAAGGUUUAUCUGCCGAAGGAUCGGCCCGCGUCUGAUUAGCUAGUUGGUGAGGUUAUGGCUCACCAAGGCGACGAUCAGUAGCUGGUCUGAGAGGAUGAUCAGCCACACUGGGACUGAGACACGGCCCAGACUCCUACGGGAGGCAGCAGUGGGGAAUAUUGGACAAUGGGGGCAACCCUGAUCCAGCCAUGCCGCGUGAGUGAUGACGGCCUUAGGGUUGUAAAGCUCUUUUCUCCGGGACGAUAAUGACGGUACCGGAGGAAUAAGCCCCGGCUAACUUCGUG